rnacentral:rRNA from 1 species
UCCGGUGGUUAUGGCGGAGGUGUCCCACCCGUUCCCAUCCCGAACACGGAAGUGAAACCCUCCAGCGCCGAUGGUACUCGCCUCGCAAGGGGCCGGGAGAGUAGGACGCCGCCGGAA